UUGGUCAAUCUUCAAAACUCCAUCUGAACUUGGGCAAACAAAUUCCCCCUUUUUGAUGAAGACAAACUCUGUGCCUUUACUAAUCAGGGAAUCUAUGGAACUCAGCUGAAUUAUCAACACUGUAACUUAGAAAUUUUAACUUAUCAUUAAGGACCAGCUUUAAUCAGGUUAUAAAUAUUGGCAUCAUCAAAAAGUUGUAUA
rnacentral:lncRNA from 1 species